AGCAAUUCGGAAUCAUGCUGACAAGGACACAGAUAGAAAUACUAAUUUUCUUUUUUUCUUUUUUCUUUUUUUUUGUAUGUAUAAAGUACUUUCAGAAUUCAAGGACUAACUUUACUUUUCUGGGAAUACGGAGGAGGAAGGGAUUAGACAAUGGGCCAUGCUGUAGCAUCCUUUAUGUAAAUAAUGAGUACUGUGGUUACGACAGACAAAGCCACCUGAUUGGUCUGAAGGCUUGGGCGGUCAGUGUUUCUAGUAGCUGGGUUAUGCCUAUGCCUCAUGGUACCUCCUGCCCUACUGAGGAACCUGCCGGGAGUCUGGCCUAUGCUCUCUGCUCACACUUGGGCUUGAAUACCACAGAGAAAGAAGCACAGAGGUCAAUAGUACAAGGCUGCUCUAGGGGACACCUGUGAGUGAGCCCCACAUUGGAGGGAGUCUUCCCCACCCCAUGGUCUUCAUGAUGCUUGUAAUCACGUAGCAUGUUAUGUUCAGUGCUGAGUCAGAUGUCGGGCAUUAGCUCUGUGGUCUUCCCUGCUGACAGGAUUAAUGGAUUCUCAGAGGUGAUUUGAAGACUCAACAACUGGAGGACAAAACCCAAUUUGAGGUCAGACUGCAGCGAAGUUUCCUGCCUGCUGCAGUGGAAGACGGGCGUGGGCAAUGCCAAGCGCUACACAGCUAUGGGCACUUGGUGAUCUAUGUGAGCAGUUUAAACACAUCAUAGGCUGAAAUAAAGCUAACACUGUUUAGUACAUAAAGGUCUGGGCAGCAAGUCCCUUUGUGUAAAAGGCUGGUCUUGAGGCCUGAAAGGAUUCAAAAGAAGUUUGCGCUGAACCAGGGAUACACAUGAGUCUGUACAGACUAAGCCAGGUAGCUUCUAUGGUUGAAAAAGCAUGGGAAAGAAAAUGUCAAAUCAAAAGAUUUGGGGGAAUGAAGUACAUUCAGGAGAAAGACCAGAUAUCAAAAGGUGGGUCACAGGAAUCUAGGAGGGCCAGUUUCAAAUGUCCAAUGCUGGAAUCACCAAAUGGGAUUCUAAUACUGGACCUACCCAAUUUAACAAUGUGAACCAUAUUUCUAGGGGUGGGAAGUACUUGCUAGGUGAGUCUUGCCAGGACAUAAUCCUUAUUCCUUAAGUGUGCUUCUGUAUGCAUUGAAAAGCAUGUAUGUGGCCAGGCCUUGGCAGGAGUUGGGACAGUGCACUUGCAAAUACACUUACCUGGCAAGUAGCGGUGGGAAGAACAGGCUGGGGGUUGGGGACCUUGCUGCUGCUCAGGGGAGACAGUCCUCUACUGGUACAGUCGCCUGGAGGUUGCAGGAGGCUAUAGACGUGUGAACAUUUCCUUUUCACACUGCAGGAGGCUACGACUUCUUCUUCUUCUUUUUUUUUUUUUGGUUUUUCAAGACAGGGUUUCUCUGUAUAGCCCUGGCUGUCCUGGAACUCACUUUGUAGACCAGGCUGGCCUCGAACUCAGAAAUCAGCCUGCCUCUGCCUCUUGAGUGCUGGGAUUAAAGGUGUGCGCCAAUACCGCCCGGCAGGCUGCAACUUCUUAUGAAGCAGCAGCCUUUGCAGUGUCUGGCAAGGGUCCUCUUGACUUGUGGACAGGCACUUUGCCUUGUGGACAGGUACUGUGCCUUCUCGGGGCAGAAGUUUACUGCAACAUGCAUCCCAUUCCAGGAGGCUCCACCUAAGUAAUUUGCCUUGUAGGAGCUCAUUUCCAAGUACCAUUUUGGGGAGUGGGCCUAGUCAGAGGAAUUUCGAAGGACCCCAGAGUUGUCCCAUAGCAUAGUACACAGACCUUGACAACUUGGUUGUGGAGGGACCUUUGUUCUCAAGAUGCUGUUAGAAGCAUGGGAAGGCCCAAGGGCAUGCACUGCAGAGUUGGCCUGCAAGAAGUCCUGAUACCUACAGCUUGUUCAUCCCGUCACUUGACACAUAUAUGAUCAAAGAUGGCUAAGGCCAGUCAGUGCUGUGUGUCCACUAAAAACGGCCAUUGAAAGGAAGUAACCUGGGAUUCCUCACUUGUCUAAGGGCUGAAAGUGUUUUCCAAGGCUCUGCAGCCAAAUUGAUCUCCUUACGUUCUGGAAGACCAACAGUUUUAUGUGAUGUUACUUAUUUACCAUUUCCCAGUGGGGGGGGGGCUCUGACUUUGUGUGGUGACAUGCUGAAAUGAGGUUUUGUUUCUUUAAGUGGGAGUUGAAAUGCAGGUGAAAUGCUCUCAUCCCGAGGCCACUGUAUCCAGCAAGAUCACUAACAUAACUCAUAGCCUACUGAGGUUAUGCUUGUCAACUUCUCUCCUGUAAACUUAAUCUCCGGCCACCUCCUUUUCUACACUGUUCUCUUCAGAGGAAAAUAAACUAUGUGAAACUCC
rnacentral:lncRNA from 1 species